ensembl:misc_RNA 7SK 7SK RNA
GAACGUGAGGGUGACUUGGCAGUGACAUCUGUCAACCCAUUGAUCACCAGGGCUGAUCUGGCUGGCUAGGCUAGUGUUCUGUUCCUCUCUAACCGCUCUGUGUGCAUCCCUCCCCAAACUGUGUGCUCGGUGGAGAAGAGAGGAGGAUCAUUCGUCCAUCAAGGGUAUACAAGUAUACAAGUAGCUGAGCCCCCUGUUAGAUGCUCCAAACAAGCUCUCAAGGUUCAUUUAUAGGGGAACAUUGGGCGAUCAAACUUCUGAGACUCCAGACACAUUCAAAUGAGGCGCUGCCUAUGGCAAUCUGCCUUUCUUU